CCCUUAGAUGUUCUGGGCCGCACGCGCGCUACACUGUUCGACGCAGCGAGUCUUAACCUUGACCGAAAGGUUUGGGUAAUCUUCAGCAAAGUCGAACGUGAUGGGGAUCGAUCAUUGCAAUUAUUGAUCGUGAACGAGGAAUUCCUAGUAAGUGCAAGUCAUCAGCUUGCGCUGAUUACGUCCCUGCCCUUUGUACACACCGCCCGUCGCUACUACCGAUUGAAUGGUUUAGUGAGAUCUCUGGAUUGACGCUGGCUAGGGGGCGACCCUUGGCCAGACUGUUGAGAAACUGCUCAAACUUGAUCAUUUAGAGGAAGUAAAAGUCGUAACG
rnacentral:rRNA from 1 species